rnacentral:rRNA from 1 species
GAUGAACGCUGGCGGCGUGCCUAAUACAUGCAAGUCGAGCGAACAGACGAGGAGCUUGCUCCUCUGACGUUAGCGGCGGACGGGUGAGUAACACGUGGAUAACCUACCUAUAAGACUGGGAUAACUUCGGGAAACCGGAGCUAAUACCGGAUAAUAUAUUGAACCGCAUGGUUCAAUAGUGAAAGACGGUUUUGCUGUCACUUAUAGAUGGAUCCGCGCCGCAUUAGCUAGUUGGUGAGGUAACGGCUUACCAAGGCAACGAUGCGUAGCCGACCUGAGAGGGUGAUCGGCCACACUGGAACUGGGACACGGUCCAGACUCCUACGGGAGGCAGCAGUAGGGAAUCUUCCGCAAAGGGCGAAAGCCUGACGGAGCAACGCCGCGUGAGUGAUGAAGGUCUUCGGAUCGUAAAACUCUGUUAUUAGGGAAGAACAAAUGUGUAAGUAACUAUGCACGUCUUGACGGUACCUAAUCAGAAAGCCACGGCUAACUACGUG